rnacentral:rRNA from 1 species
CCUACGGGAGGCAGCAGUAAGGAAUAUUGGUCAAUGGGCGCAAGCCUGAACCAGCCAUGCCGCGUGCAGGAAGACGGCCCUAUGGGUUGUAAACUGCUUUUGAACAAGAGAAAACCUCGGUACGUGUACCGAGCUGAUAGUAUUGUUAGAAUAAGCAUCGGCUAACUUCGUGCCAGCAGCCGCGGUAAGACGAAGGAUGCAAGCGUUAUCCGGAUUCAUUGGGUUUAAAGGGUGCGUAGGCGGCCUGAUAAGUCAGUGGUGAAAUCUCUCAGCUUAACUGAGAAACUGCCAUUGAUACUGUCGGGCUUGAGUACAGAUGAUGUGGGCGGAAUAUGACAUGUAGUGGUGAAAUACUUAGAUAUGUCAUAGAACACCGAUUGCGAAGGCAGCUCACAAAACUGUAACUGACGCUGAGGCACGAAAGUGCGGGGAUCAAACAGGAUUAGAUACCCUGGUAGUCCGCACCGUAAACGAUGAUUACUCGUUGUUGGCAAUAUGACCGUCAGCGACCAAGCGAAAGCGAUAAGAAUCCACCUGGGGAGUACGCCGCGACGGUGAAACUANAGAGUAGUUAGACGNGNGAGNGCGACGAGCACGACGGAGGGUUAG